UCCCUGGCGGUCCAGUGGUUAAGACUCUGUGCUUCCAAUGCGGGGGUCGCGGGUUCCAUCCCCGGUCAGGGAA
rnacentral:tRNA from 1 species